rnacentral:lncRNA from 1 species
UCAGGCUAUGCAAACAUCCUCUUGUGGAAAUGCAUGGCAAGCUAAGGCUGAGUCCUACAGACCCUUGUGGUUGAAUCUUUUCCGUACCCUGCUCAUAGUGAGAGUUUUAGUGCACCGAAUUGCCUUUACGACAGUGGGUUCGGAUCAUGUCUCAUUGCCUUUUACUCGAACACUAUAUCUAUUAUUGAUUUAUUUUCUCUUUGUAAUUUCAAAAAGACGCAUUACUUCAUUUGAGUCUACUCUUUCUAGUUGUUUUAACAACAAAACUUGAGGUAUUUUAGCCUGAAAUUAAGCUUGACAAGCUUUAUACCUUUUUGUCUUUAAGUUUGGCUUACCAAAGAUGUACAUCAAACAUUUUUAUCUUAAGGUUUGAUACUAUUUUUUGAUAACAUUUUCAUCUAAAUGAGAAAAGGUCAAUUAUCCAACGCACUAAAAUCCAGUGGAUGAAAUUCUAUAUUCAUGAAAAGCUAGGUUUAAACCGUUGUUGUGUAAUUAACCAAGAGUAGUACAUUCCAAAAUCAACGUUUCCAAGUUUUUACAAAGGGUGUGCAUUCAUUGGUUUGGUUCGAUUUUUUGUAUAAUCG